rnacentral:rRNA from 1 species
GACGAACGCUGGCGGCGUGCUUAACACAUGCAAGUCGAACGCUGAAGCUCAGCGUUUGUUGGGUGGAGGAGUGGCGAACGGGUGAGUAACACGUGAGUAACCUGCCCCCUUCUUUGGGAUAACGCCCGGAAACGGGUGCUAAUACUGGAUAUUCACUGGUCUUCGCGUGGGGGUUGGUGGACAUGGUAUUUCUGGUGGGGGAUGGGCUCGCGGCCUAUCAGCUUGUUGGUGGGGUGAUGGCCUACCAAGGCUUUGGCGGGUAGACGGGCUGAGAGGGUGCACGGGAACAUUGGGACUGAGAAAAGGCCUAGACUACGCCGGGGGGCAGAAGUGGGGAAAAAGGGCGCAUGGGUGAACGACUGAUGCCGCGACGCCGAGGGAGGGAUGGAGGCCUUAGGGUUGUGAACCUCUUUAGCUAAUGGUGCAGCCGAAACCAUGGUUGUGGUGACGGUAGUGGGUAAAGAAGCGCCGGCUAACUACGUG